AAUGGCUUGUAGAACUCCUAAAACUUGGCAGAAAACAUCCUUGAUAAUCUGAUGCAAAAAUGGACUAAGGACUUAAGUAGAUAUUUCUUCAAAAACACACAAAUGAUGAGAGCGGCUGGACCGGGAAAGUGGCCAUAUGUGUGAGGGCAGACAGAGCCAAAACGCCUCAAGCAGGCAACCUACAUCAGUCUUAAGAAAAGCAUCCUUCAGGGACAACUGAGUCAUUAGAUGCUUGGCAAUCUUGUCUGUCAUCAUACUAACUUUGCAAGGGUGUAAAUUAACAUCCCUGCUGUUGUUGUUCAGUCCUCUGCCCUCCAAGGUUCCAUGCUAGCAGACUGUGAGAGAAACUCUCCACAGACCUGGAAUACAAAAAGACCCACGCUUCUCUCUGCACUGGAUCACAUUGUCGAGGACUACAGGUAUCCUGUAGGAAGUAAGGUCCAUCUUCACACAGUAGCCAGUGCUAGAAGCA